AUGGAGGGGCUCCGGGGGGGUGAGAGGUUAUGGAGUGGGCGUGCGGCUCAGGAGAGCUACGGGGAGCAGGGAGCUGUGUGUGCACCCUGGGGCUGGAGGUGGUGGGCAGGGAGCACCCCACACCGCUGCCCGCCUGUGCGCUGUCUGCAGGGACCCGUGUGGAGGUGGGGGCUCUGCGGGGAGGCUGGGGGCUGCGUGCACUGGGGAGGGGGAGAUGGAGCAGGGGGUGGUGUGGGGUGGUGCAGGCAGCUGUGCCGGGCUGGGAGCGGUGUGUUGGGGGGCUGCUGUCUGCGGGUGAGAAGUACAUGGGGUUGGGCGCUGGGGUCUGCGUGGGGGAGCCAGCUCUGCAAGGGCACAGAACAGCGGAGGGCGUGUGGGGCCCCCCCGGUCUCCAGGGUGCCAUCGCAGCCAUGGCUUGGGGUAUGUUGUUUCCUGAUCCCAGUUCCCAAAGCCAGGUCAGGAGCCUGGCUGUGCUACAGGGGGUGGAGGCUGCCCAGACUGCGGGGUCGGUGGGGCUGUGCAGGGCAGGGGUUGCCCGGGGACGCUGCAGCCUCCCAGGGCUGCUCUGCCAGCUGCAGUGACGCUGGGUGCAUCUGGGUGCUUAUGGGGACAGGGCACGGUUCCCAAAGGACACCUCUCACCCUUUUCCCCGGUCUGCCCCUUGCCCUGUUGUGCCAGCUGCCAGCAGAACCAGUCCAGGUCAACACCACUGAAGGAAUCAGCUCCUGGGAAGUUUCUGUUCCCAGCGUGAGAUGCAGAGCGUUUCCUCUCCCCACCCCACCCUGCACGGGGACUUUACUCCUUUGCUUUCUGCUGUGCCCGCAGAAGCCUCUGGCAGAGGGCAGUGGGACACGGCCUGGGGGGGCUGGGGCUGCUCUCCCCUGUGAGGGCAGAGCCCAGGGGACAGUGCACAGGCAAUGUGCGUGCCCCUGCCCCAUGCACCAGCACGUCCAGCCCCGGCACCUUUGCUUGGCUCCAAGCCAGGGCCCCCGCUGGGGAGUGCAGGCAAGGCUGAGCCCCCGGAGUCCCCCAGCUGUGUGCUGUGUGUUUGGGACCCCCAGCUCGCCAAGCACACAGGAUGCUGGGUGCCCUGCAGCCGGUCACAGUGGGCACGUGCCAACCUCUGCUGGGUUCGUGGGGCUGGAGUUUGAACUCCCAGUGCACACCAAGUAA
rnacentral:lncRNA from 1 species